rnacentral:rRNA from 2 species
UACGGAAGAUGCGAGCGUUAUCCGGAUUUAUUGGGUUUAAAGGGAGCGUAGGCGGGCUUUUAAGUCAGCGGUCAAAUGCCACGGCUCAACCGUGGCCAGCCGUUGAAACUGUAAGCCUUGAGUCUGCACAGGGCACAUGGAAUUCGUGGUGUAGCGGUGAAAUGCUUAGAUAUCACGAAGAACUCCGAUCGCGAAGGCAUUGUGCCGGGGCAGCACUGACGCUGAGGCUCGAAAGUGCGGGUAUCAAACAGG